rnacentral:lncRNA from 1 species
AUGGGCUGGGGGCCUGGACCCCAGGAGGAGGAUCCUAACCCGGGCCUCCGGGUUUGCCUAGCGGAACUUCGCUCACCUCACCCCCACCCCGACCCCCCAACCUUGAAGCUGGAAACUGCGGGGUUGGAAUCCAGUCCAGAGAUUAGUAGCCACACCUCCCACCAACCCUCGGAAGUCAGGUCUCCCGGCGGGGGCCGGGGCUCCGGGACUACCUGGGAGGUGCCAGGCGGGAGACCGCCGCCCCUGCUCCCCGCCACGCCCUCGGAGAACCCGUUAGGAGGAAGUCGGGGCCGGCCUGCACUCUGGGCCCUAGAAAGCGGAUACUGCCGGGUCCCGAGCAGGGAAAGAGAAAAAGGACGAGCCACAACUCCAGAAGUGUCCCAAGGAGGGAGGGCAGCACCCCCCACGCGGAGGAUGUUGACUCCAACCUGGCGCUGGAUUCCAGCCUCCAACAGGCUGCACCUCUGUUCUGUGAAGCUGGCUGCUUUGGGGUACAGGGACCCGCCUCCCGACUUCCUAAUAAACAGAGUUCCUUGAUCAGAAGCAAUAUUGUGUGACAGUGAACAUGAUGGUGAAUAGGGCCAUUCAGCGGGUACAUAGAUACGGCUCUUGGCAGGCAUGGGUAAGGCAAGGAGAGCAAAUAACAACCCUGACUUAAUAUUCCAGGGAGGAAGCAGUCACUCCAUUCACGAUGGAAGGAGCCCAAUGUAAUUAUCAGGCGACCAGGUAUUUGGCUGGUCUUCCUAGGAAACCCGCAGUGGAGGGGCCCGGAGGCUUUGCAGUGCUGCAGCGGGCUGGGCUUUGCUGGGGCAAAUCCGUGCCCAGCCCUCCACGGCCACUUUGUUCUUGACUCCACUGAGCCAGCACUGGGGACGCUGAGCCACGUGAGGUCAUCCAAUCUGCCAGGUGGCUUAAUAACAUUCUCUGCAAUAGAGGCUUUUUGGGAAGAGUUCAC